rnacentral:sRNA from 1 species
GUGCUCGUUCCAUGAAAUUGGGGGAUGUGGAUGCUUGAACGGGCUCUCCGCUGGUGUGCCUUCCAUGCAGAGGAGGUCCCCUGAGGCCUUAGAGAUGAAUCUCCCAGAAGUGGCAGCUGUGGCAGGGACACCAGGUCAUGAGGGACAUGGGAGGUGAACCCGCUGCUCACUUCCUGGCCCUCGUCCCUUAGACCUAGUCUUCGGAGCAGAACUGGGGGAAGCUGAGGUUUCUGUGGGCUGUGUGCCCACCUCCUCCCUCUUCGUUGGUCCUCCCACGCGCCCGCCCCCGAGUGGGAGCAGAGCCGUGUGAGCUGAGUUGGAGCUGCUCGCUGCCGAGAAUUGCAUCAGCCCCGCCUGGCAGGCUGGAGCGGGAGCCUGUUGCUAUGGUGACCACCAGGCUUCAAACCAGUGAGAAGGAUGAGAUGGUUGCCGGGCGAGGUUUUCUCACCUUGUGAUGCGUGUGACAGGCUGACAGGUUCAGUAGACGUGGACCCCAGCCCU